GACGAACGCUGGCGGCGUGCUUAACACAUGCAAGUCGAACGGAAAGGCCCUGCUUGCCGGGUGCUCGAGUGGCGAACGGGUGAGUAACACGUGGGUGAUCUGCCCCUUACUUUGGGAUAAGCCUGGGAAACUGGGUCUAAUACUGGAUAGGACCAUGCUGUAGGUGGUGUGGUGGAAAGAUUAGUUUCGGUAAGGGAUGAGCUCGCGGCCUAUCAGCUUGUUGGUGGGGUAUUGGCCUACCAAGGCGUCGACGGGUGGCCGGCCUGAGAGGGUGGACGGCCACAUUGGGACUGAGAUACGGCGCAGACGCCUACGGGAGGCAGCAGUGGGGAAUAUUGCACAAUGGGCGGAAGCCGGAUGCAGCGACGCCGCGUGGGGGAUGACGGCCUUCGGGUUGUAAACUCCUUUCAGCCAUGACGAAGCCCUUGUGGUGACGGUAGUGGUAGAAGAAGCACCGGCUAACUACGUG
rnacentral:rRNA from 1 species